rnacentral:rRNA from 1 species
UGGGGAAUAUUGCACAAUGGGCGCAAGCCUGAUCCAGCCAUGCCGCGUGGGUGAAGAAGGCCUUCGGGUUGUAAAGCCCUUUUGUCCGGGAAGAAAUCGUCUGGGCUAAUACCCCGGGCGGAUGACGGUACCGGAAGAAUAAGCACCGGCUAACUUCGUGCCAGCAGCCGCGGUAAUACGAAGGGUGCAAGCGUUACUCGGAAUUACUGGGCGUAAAGCGUGCGUAGGCGGUUCGUUAAGUCCGAUGUGAAAGCCCUGGGCUCAACCUGGGAACUGCAUUGGAAACUGGCGGGCUGGAGUGCGGUAGAGGGUGGCGGAAUUCCCGGUGUAGCAGUGAAAUGCGUAGAUAUCGGGAGGAACACCCGUGGCGAAGGCGGCCACCUGGACCAGCACUGACGCUGAGGCACGAAAGCGUGGGGAGCAAACA